ensembl:snoRNA
AUUCUUUUGUAGUUCAUGAGCGUGAUGAUUGUGUGUUCACUCACAAGUGUGAGAUGUGCCACACUCAAAUCUUCUUAGGACGUCUGCACAUUACCCAUCUCAUC